rnacentral:rRNA from 1 species
GACGAACGCUGGCGGCGUGCCUAAUACAUGCAAGUCGAACGCAGUGGGGACGGGUGAGUAACACGUGGGUAACCUCCCAUCAGAGGGGAUAACACUUGGAAAUAGGUGCUAAACCCAUACUGAUGGAUGGACCCGCGGUGCAGUAGCUAGUUGGUGAGGUAACGGCUAACCAAGGCCACGAUGCAUAGCCGACCUAGGCGUGGGAGCGCGCGUACGAGGUCUAAGAGACGGCCAGAGCUCCACCAGGGUUCACUGUUAGGGAGUCUUCGGAGAUGGACGAAAUUCUGACCCCUCAGCCCCGCGUGAGUGUAGGAGGUUUUGGGACCGUAAACCUCUGUGGUUAGUUAAUCGGGAUCUAACCAGAUAGCCACGCCUAACUACGUGCCAGCAGCCGCGGUAAUUC